AUUUGAACUGUAUACAUGAGAGCAGACAUACGUCACUAUGUAAAAGUGCUGGCGCCAAAUUGGAAUAAUUAGUGGCAACAUGCUUAAAAGCUGCUAUGUUGCAUUUUGCAUAUCAAACAACCAGUUUACGAUUUCCUUUACUUCCUCAAAGAGCAAAGGACAGUAAAAGAAGAGAUCUGGAGCUUCAGGCCAGAGAGGAUGAAAAUGGUGAACUGUGGGGUACGUCUGUGGCAAACACUUCAUCACAGUAAUGGACCAAGAACAGACCUCUGUGGCUCCCCAUUACUGAUGGUAAAAGGGCUUGACUCAACAGCAACAGUCUGAGUUCUUCUCAAAAGACCUCCCAAGUUACAGGCUCCUUCUCAAGUCCAAGCCUCAGAGUCGUGGAGGAGCAGCUCUGCAGUGUUUGCAGAGCAGGAUGCACCACAGACAACAAUGCAGCCUCCAGGACUCUCUCACACACACAUUCCUGUGGGCCUGGUGGUGGUGGGACUUAACCUCUGGAGCUCAGCAUGCUUUGUCUACUCCCCCUCACCACCACCACCUCUAUGCCUCCCAACUACAGGCUACCCCCACCUUUUUUUUUUUUUACCAAGCGCUCACUUACACAACAAGCUUUUCUCACACCAGAACAUGAAGACUUCUUUAAUCAAGUCCAUUAAGAGUCAGGAGCAAGAUUUAUGUCACAAAGGAUAUGUUGUUUAAUGGGUGAGUGAAUGCAAAUGAUAUGUGAUUCCUUGAUUUCAUCAAUAUGAGCCAUGCAAUAUAUAUUAAAAGCCAAUCCAUUUGCAGUCAUUUAUAUUAAUGAUACCACUUUCAGAUUACCACAGGGUAAUGGGGGCAAAAAAGUGUACAUUCCCAUGAAUGAUGAGCCCACCACUGUCGACCUAAAUUGCAUUACAGAGCCAGUAAUGAUCUGUGUUGUUAUUAUGUAAACUGUGGUGAAUCAGUUAUUCAUUCAAUACUGUCCCUAAUUGAAUAAUUAGAUUCUUGUCUGUGUAAAGAUAUGCAUGUUUGUCUCCCUCCUGUGCUAGGAAGAGGCAACAGAUGGAGCAUAUUAUGUAAUCAUAUUGAAAUAAAUUAAAAUCACAGAUUAUCCUGA